rnacentral:lncRNA from 1 species
GAAAAGUGCAUAGGUCUAACUUGCAGGCAUAAAACAGUGUGUCAUGUCUCAUUUCAUAGAUCAAUCAAUAAAAACAGAGGAUUUUUAACUUUAAGGGCAGAGGUAGUAUAUACCCAAAAAGAAAACUUAUCAGAGAUGGAGAGGAGUCUGAGUGCCAACGAUGGCCGCUUGGAUUACCAACGACUGGAACACGGUUCAAAAUGCACAGAGACAAAAAGGAGUUCUAAUCCUGUAAAAUUUCAAAUCUCUCUCGUACUUCCUCUAUGUUUGUGAACUCAUUUCCUUUUUUGUCUGUUCCAAAAAUAAUGAAUUCUUUCUAAAUUUGGUAACAAUUUAGCUUAAAAUUACAACUUUAUCCUUAAUGAGAAGCUUUUAUAACCACACAAAUACUCUGGGCUCCAUUUAGACUUGUCUAGGACAACAAAUUACAAACUCUUCAUUUUUUUCUUAAACUUGUGCACAUAAAUUGAAACGGAGGCAGUAUCAGAUAUCUAACAGCGGUUUUUAUCCCAGAUGAUCUCCUGAAACUGAUAAAAAAAAAAUUCCAUCUCAAGCAUCAAAUCAGAUAGUUGCUUUAAUCAUUUUGUUUCUAGCUAGAGAUGUUUGCACCAAUCAAGGGGAUCAUAUCACCCUAAUAGAGUUGCUAUUUACAUGACCAGAAAGAGAAAUCAGAAAUACUUGAUUACGCAUGUUUUCCCUAAGGUCAGUAGAAUAUAUAUAUAUAUAUAUAUAUGUAGGAUGCUAGUUCAAACUUAGAGUGAUAUUUAUGGAAUCUAAAUAUUCAAUUUCAUGUGUGUGAAUUUGUGUAAAUUGAAAUGUUGGGUAAAUGAUGAAUACCGAUUUGCUUAGUGGAUAGCCGUUCGCUAAGUAUUGAUUUUUUUUUCUUUUUUGCGGAAAUUGCCUAUAUAUUGUUCCUGAAGAUGGAGGAAUAACACAAACAAGAAGGUGACUCUUUCUCUUUAUAUGGUUAUUUGGUUUGUCAAGGAGCAUGAUAUAUGCCAAAGUUUGAUUAUUCAUCUAAGUUGCUACUGCUAAACUAUAGAAGUGGUGACAUGUACUUGCAACCUUUUAAAUUUUUUUUAGACAAUAAACAAAGUUCUUUUAUUAAUUAAUCACUAGUAACUGAGUAAUCCAGAAACAAUCCUGUUGCGUAAACCUUAACAUCAUUCAAUUGAAAGCAUAAUGUAUAUAUCUAAAAAAUUAUAGAACUUCACAAAGUAGGGGGAAAAAGAUUGAAAGAAUACAAGGUCCAAAGAUUCCUCUUUAACUCUAACAAGACAUGGUCAGCAAAAAUAAUUCAAAUGGAUUCCGAUUGUGUUUUCCCCAACCCAACUACAAACUAACAUGAAUAAAAACUUUAUUUUCUGAAUUGCCAUGAAAUUAUGCAUCUCAACUCAGUCAAAUUAUUCCCUAUAGAUUUCACCUAUUCCUUUUUUUUUUUGUGCGAAACAUAAUAUUGCAUUAAACAUAAAUAAAAUUACUAGAGAGAGGGUGAUGCCUGUGCAUCGAUAAUAUAGUUGUUUUCUAGUUGUCUAUUACAAGGAUUAAUACUAUCUAUUCUAAUGUUGUUAUCCACCACAUUGUCUCCAUUGGAAGCAGUCAUUCGUUGAUCAUUGUCAUAGAUUACAAAAGUGUUAUGAUUCAUGUCCUCCUCUUGUUCCUGAUGUGUGCAUGUUGUCUUCCUAAAGCGAGUUGCUCCUUCCUGAUCCCUUUGCAAAAAGGUGCUCACAAAAAUCCGGUGGCUCUUCAAAAAUAGAUGGUCUUUCAUUAGAGGCCAUGUUGCAUCCCGCCUUUGCUAAACCAUCAGCCACCUCAUUCCCCUCUCUAUAGGUAUGUGCAAUGGUAACACUAUGCAGUUGGUCCAAGAGGUACCUGCAAUCAGUGAGUAUAUUAGUAUAAAUGAUGUUGUCCUUUUUUAACAUUGUAAGUACCUCUGAUGCAUCGAUGUUUAUUUCCAGCGGGACCAAAUUGUAUCUGUUUGUCAAUUUCAGUCCAUGGAAUAGGGCCUUUAGUUCUGCCUGGAUGAUGGUGGCAUUGUCCAAAUUGCCUGCAAAACCUAUAAUCUAAUUUCCAUUUGAAUCGCGUAUGGUUCCUCUUAUACCUGCUUUCUGAGUUAACGUUGAUAUAGCUCCAUCCGUAUUUAAUUUGUAGUAGUUUGGUUUAGGGGGUAUCCAUUUGAUAGGUUGCAUUAUAGGGAUUUUGGUUGUUGCUACCUUUGCAGCUAAAUAGGUAAAUUUCAGUGCAUGGUUAGUAAUUUUUUUUAAGUGAUAUGUGUUGUUGUGUAUUAUUAAAAUUGUGAUUGUUAUGAUUAAUCCAAAUAUCCCAUAAUGUGUACGAAAUAAAAGUUUUGCUAUUUAUACGGUAAGGCAUGUUGUUGUACUUUGUAAUAAUGAGUUUCAUUAACCAACCUGAUGGAUGAGAGUAUGUAGUUAUAUUGUUGAUAAAGUUUGGUAUACCAAGUCAUUCCAUAUAUGUUUUAUGUUAGAACAUUCUAAAAAUAUAUGAUUAAUAGUUUCCAGAUCUAUAUUACAUAUUUGACAUCGGUCAUCUACUGUGAUUCCUAUAUGAUUUAGGUAUUUUUUUGUUGGCAACCUGUUAUGCAUUACAAGCCAAAGGAAUAUUUUUAUUUUGGGUGGUAUUUGAAUCUUCCAAAUCCAAUUAUAAGUGGAUGUGUGUUGUUGUAAUUUUAAAUCCUGCUGUAGUAAUUGUGAAUACAUUGAUUGGACAGUAAAUUUACCAUUGUUGGAUAGUCCCCAAGAGAUAGUAUCCGCUUUGUUUGUGUAGAUAGGUACAUUAAUCCUGUUGAAUUCAUUUUUAAAAGAGUUUGUAAUGUGAAAAGGUAUUUCUGCCCAUUUCCAAUUAUUAUGAUCUCUGUAAGUGUUGAUAGUCCUUGUAGUAUGUUCUAAAGGUAUAGGACCAUGUAAUAAAGAUCUAACUGUGGUGUUCGAAGCAUUCCAUGGCUCCGUCCAGAAGUUUAUUUUUGAAUUCGUACCUACCUGCCAUUGAAUGCUACUUUGGCAUUUUUCCC